UUUCCGGUUGAUCCUGCCGGAGGCCUUUGCUAUUGGGAUCCGAUUUAGCCAUGCUAGUCGUACGAGCUUACACUCGUGGCGAAUAGCUCAGUAACACGUGGCCAAACUACCCUUCGGACCGCAAUACCCUCGGGAAACUGAGGCUAAUAGCGGACACCACACGCAGACUGGAAUGUCGCGUGUGUCAAACGCUCCGGCGCCGAAGGAUGUGGCUGCGGCCGAUUAGGUAGACGGUGGGGUAACGGCCCACCGUGCCAAUAAUCGGUACGGGUCAUGAGAGUGAGAACCCGGAGACGGAAUCUGAGACAAGAUUCCGGGCCCUACGGGGCGCAGCAGGCGCGAAACCUUUACACUGCACGCCAGUGCGAUAAGGGGAUCCCAAGUGCGUAGGCAUAGAGCCUACGCUUUUGUCCACCCUAGGGUGGUGGACGAAUAAGGGCUGGGCAAGACCGGUGCCAGCCGCCGCGGUAAACCGGCAGCCCGAGUGAUGACCGAUCUUAUUGGGCCUAAAGCGUCCGUAGCUGGCUACGCAAGUCCGUCGGGAAAUCCACCUGCUCAACAGGUGGGCGUCCGACGGAAACUGCAUAGCUUGGGACCGGAAGGCUCGAAGGGUACGUCUGGGGUAGGAGUGAAAUCCCGUAAUCCUGGACGGACCGCCGAUGGCGAAAGCACGUCGCGAAAACGGAUCCGACAGUGAGGGACGAAAGCUAGGGUCUCGAACCGGAUUAGAUACCCGGGUAGUCCUAGCUGUAAACACUGCCUGCUAGGUGUGGCACCCACUACGAGUGGGUGCUGUGCCGCAGGGAAGCCGCUAAGCAGGCCGCCUGGGAAGUACGUCCGCAAGGAUGAAACUUAAAGGAAUUGGCGGGGGAGCACUACAACCGGAGGAGCCUGCGGUUUAAUUGGAUUCAACGCCGGGA
rnacentral:rRNA from 1 species